rnacentral:rRNA from 1 species
GACGAACGCUGGCGGCGUGCCUAACACAUGCAAGUCGAACGGAGAAUUAGCAAUAAUUCUUAGUGGCGAACGGGUGAGUAACGCGUAAAUAAUCUGCCCUUUAGACGGGGACAACAGAUCGAAAGAUCUGCUAAUCCCGAAUGUUGUUAAAGAAACGAAUGUUUCUUUAACUAAAGAUGGCCUCUAUUCAUAAGCUAUCGCUAAAGGAUGAAUUUGGGUCUGAUUAGCUAGUUGGGGAGAUAAAAGCUCACCAAGGCAACGAUCAGUAGCAGGUCUGAGAGGAUGAACGGCCACACUGGGACUGAGACACGGCCCAGACUCCUACGGGAGGCAGCAGUGGGGAAUCUUCCGCAAUGGACGAAAGUCUGACGGAGCAACGCCGCGUGAGUGAAGAAGGUUUUCGGAUCGUAAAGCUCUGUUGUUAAGGACGAAUGUAUAGAUUGCAAAUAAUGAUUUAUAAUGACGGUACUUAACGAGAAAGCCACGGCUAACUACGUGCCAGCCGCCGCCGUAAUAC